rnacentral:tRNA from 2 species
GCCGAAGGCCACCUCGGUAAAGCGCGUCCUUGGUAAGGACGAGAGCGGGGGUUCAAAUCCCCCCUCAGGCU